AUCUGGAGGAGGUGAACUGGUGGCUGCAGGUGCUCAUCGUGCCAAGGAGGGAGAUCCCACGCUGGGCCUGGCAGCUCCAUUCAUCCAGCUGAGCUGGGGGAGAGCACCGGUCAUGGGCCCACUCAGGCACGCAUGGAGAGCCUGGUGUGUGUUGUACGGUUCUGUGAGCAGGGAUGACGGGGGCGUUAUUCCUGCCACCAGUCCUCAGGUGAGGGAGCUGGGAUCCAGGGAGGAUAAGUGGGCUUCCCAAGACACCAGGCACUGGAAGCUGAGAUGUGAACCUGCCUGCCUGUUCUCCUUGCCUAAGCCUGUUCUGUCAUCCUGAGCCCUCUCUCUGUGCAUCUCAAAUUUAUAUCAUUUUCUUGAUCAGAGGGGACAGAGGGGUAACCAGAGACAGGUGGAGAUUCACUCAAAGUCACUCUGCUUUAAGCUGCAGAGCUGCAACUAGAACCCAGACCUCAGCCCUCUCCAGGCUCCCACCAUGCCUGCAGGUGAGGCCAGUAUACCCAACUCUCACCCACCUCCCCACGAUCACUGGCAUGAGGUCUGCCCAGGGUGGGCGUGGCCUUGGCCUGAGAGGCUGGUGCAGCACCGAGGACUGGAGGGAGGAGGAGGGAUCUGGGCACCAAGACGGGGCCUCCUCAGGGUGCCGUGGGGCAUCCCUUGGUGCUGGCCACUGGCCUUGCUCUGCAGUGCCUCUGUUGAGGUGAGGAGCCCAGAGACAGCCUGCCUCUGCCUGGGCUCCACUGGGGCAGGCAAUUCCUUGUCUCAGCAGAACCAGGGUUUUGUCGCUGCUACAUCUCCCCUGGUCACUCUGGGAUCAGAGGUAAGAGCAGAAUGGAUGCACAUGCAUUCAGAGCCAAACCUCAGAGAGGGAACCCGACACUCCCCACCUGAAGGGGUGGCCUGCCCCUCCACAACUGUGGGUGUUUCUCGUGGGGUGGGAUGAGAGACUGAGAAAAGAAAGAGACACAGAGACAAAGUAUAGAGAAAGAAAAAUGGGCCCAGGGGACUGGCGCUCAGCAUACAGAGGACCCACGCUGGCCCCAGUCUCCGAGUUCCCUCAGUAUUUAUUGAUCAUUAUCUCUACCAUCUCUACCAUCUCCCAGAGGGGGAUGUGGCAGGACAAUAGGGUAAUAGUGGGGAGAGGGCCAGCAGGAAAAUGUGAACAAAUGUCUCUGUGUCAUAAACAAGGUUAAGGAAAAGGUGCUGUGCUUUGAUGUGCACAUACAUAAACAUCUCGGUGCAUUAAAGAGCAGUGUUACCGCCAGCAUGUCUCACCUCCAGCCCUAAGGCGGUUUUCUCCUAUCUCAGUAGAUGGAAUAUACAAUCGGGUUUUACACCGAGACAUUCCAUUGCCCAGGGAUGAGCAGGAGACAGAUGCCUUCCUCUUAUCUCAACUGCAAAGAGGCCUUCCUCUUUUACUAAUCCUCCUCAGCACAGACCCUUUACGGGUGUCGGGCUGGGGGACGGUCAGGUCUUUCACUUCCCAUGAGGCCAUAUUUCAGACUAUCACAUGGGGAGAAACCUGGCUUUCCUAGGCAGAGGUCCCUGCGGCCUUCCUUCCGCAGUGUUUUGUGUCCCUGGGUACUUGAGAUUAGGGAGUGGUGAUGACUUUUAACAAGCUAGCUGCCUUCAAGCAUUUGUUUAACAAAGCACAUCCUGCAUAGCCCUAAAUCCAUUAAACCUUGAGUCGACACAGGGCAUGUUUCUGCGAGCACAGGGUUGGGGUAGGGUUACAGAUUAACAGCAUCUCAAGGCAGAAGAAUUUUUCUUAGUACAGAACAAAAUGGAGUCUCUCAUGUCUACUUCUUUCUAUAUAGACACAGUCCGUAUAGAAAGAGACACUGAUCUC
rnacentral:lncRNA from 1 species